UCCCUCUCGCUUCGCUCCCCGCUGAUUUCACUUCACUAGGCUCCUUCCCCGAAAAACACUGCUCCUCGCUGCUCGUCUUGUCCUCUCACUUUUCAUUCAAACCCUCUUUCACACACUGUUUUGAAACUUCGAAGCUUAAAUCACCGUCCCCAUCGCCCUUCAACAUUUUGUCCUCCUUCUUCGAUUUUGGGCGUUAGGUUUUGAGGUGAUCAUCAGUGAUUCUGGAACUGGAUUCCUAAUGUCGGAAGAGAAGGAUGCUUUCUACCUUGUCAAGAAGGGUGACGUUGUUGGCAUUUACAAGAGUUUGAGUGACAUCCAAGUUCAUCUUGCAUCUUCAGUUGGCUCCUUAGAGAUUUACAAAGGAUGUUCUUUAUCGAAGAAAGCUGAGGAGCACCUUGCCUUGCACGGGAUUAAGGAAGCUGCCUACUCUAUCAGUGCCGCUGAUGUGAGCGAAGGACUUUUUGGAAGAAUUGUUGCAUGUCCUUAUCAGCAACCAUCUCAUUCUGGGGGAAAAGCAUCUGACAUAAAUUUACCAUCAAAGGUGUUGCGAGGAGCUGAUCAACUUGAUAACAAUUUGAACGUGGUUGGACCAUCAUUAUUUUCAUCAAAUUCUGACAGGCGUCAAAUUUUUAAUGCAGCUCAAUCGGAUCUGUCGACUUGUCUUUCUUGUAUUAUUGAGUUUGAUGGCGCUGCAAAGGGGAAUCCUGGACCAGCUGGUGCAGGAGCUGUGCUGCGUGCUGAAGAUGGAAGCAAGGUCUGUCGAUUGCGUGAAGGAGUGGGCUCAUCAACAAAUAAUGUUGCUGAAUAUCGGGCUCUAAUUUUAGGAUUGAAACAUGCCACUAAGAGAGGAUAUAAGCACAUCCGUGUCCAAGGAGACUCCUUGCUUGUCUGCAAUCAGAUGAAGGGUUCCUGGAAAACGAAAAAUGCAAAUAUGGCUUUCUUAUGUAAUGAGGCCAAGGAGCUGACGAGCAAGUUUUUAUCAUUCCAAAUCAACCAUGUUCUGAGGCCAGAAAACCCGGCCGUAAAUGAUGGUUUUCAUAUAAUCUGGAUCAUCUUCUCCCUGCGGCGCUUCCUUCUUAUACAUCAAUGCACAAGAAUCCGCAAAUCCUAUCCAGGAAAUUUCCUCUUCAUGUCCCCUCUCCUUUUGUAUUUACAUGUUUUGAAUUUCAUACCUCUGGUACUCAAGUUUAUGGAGUACUGUUCUGCUUCCUCCUCCUCCUCCUCCUUCUCGUAAUGUUAACAAUCACCAUGUGUUCCUCAGCUUCAGAGGCGAGGACAUAAGCAACACUUUUGCCGGCCAUCUUCAUGCUGCCUCAACCAGGAAACACAUUAAAACCUAUGUAGGCUACAAUCUCCUGAAAAGGCACGAAGUAUCUGCCUCACUGGCUAAAGCCAUGGAGGAAGCCAAGCCUUCUGUGGUUAUUUUCUCUAAGAACUAUGCUUCUUCCAAGAGUGUUUGAAUCAUAGGCAUGAUAGCUGAAUUAUUGCUAAUGAAACGAAUAUAACUCCGAAGCUGAUGUCCAAGCAAACCUGGCUGUAAAUCUUAGAGCUGGCCAGGUCGAAGAAGAUUGUCAGUGCUAAUACCUUCACUUUAUGCAGGUGAAGGAACCUGUUAAAUAUUUCUGAAUAUAUAGACAAACCCUAUUUUGGCCCCCAUUAGAUGUGGUUAUCCCUCACAAAUGUUCCCGUUAUUAUAAUUUAAGCCCCUCUGUGCAGUCCCCUGUUUUCUUUUAAACCCUCUUCAAUUAGACAUUGCUUCCCAAUCACCUCCUUGGUAGAUUCUUUGGUUCUUGCCUUCUUGGUCGAGUGGCAUGCAUAUGCAGAACUCUUGUAUCUCCUAUAUUGCAGCAUUUGUAUCAGCCUUGGACGCCUCAUCUUCUAUACUAUUCUACGUUGAAUUUGAUGAAA